rnacentral:rRNA from 1 species
AAUCCAUAGGUUAAUGAGGCGAACCGGGGGAACUGAAACAUCUAAGUACCCCGAGGAAAAGAAAUCAACCGAGAUUCCCCCAGUAGCGGCGAGCGAACGGGGAGGAGCCCAGAGCCUGAAUCAGCAUGUGUGUUAGUGGAAGCGUCUGGAAAGGCGCGCGAUACAGGGUGACAGCCCCGUACACAAAAGCGCAUGUGCUGUGAGCUCGAUGAGUAGGGCGGGACACGUGGUAUCCUGUCUGAAUAUGGGGGGACCAUCCUCCAAGGCUAAAUACUCCUGACUGACCGAUAGUGAACCAGUACCGUGAGGGAAAGGCGAAAAGAACCCCGGCGAGGGGAGUGAAAAAGAACCUGAAACCGUGUACGUACAAGCAGUGGGAGCACAGGUUUACCUGUGUGACUGCGUACCUUUUGUAUAAUGGGUCAGCGACUUAUAUUCUGUAGCAAGGUUAACCGAAUAGGGGAGCCGGAGGGAAACCGAGUCUUAAUUGGGCGUUAAGUUGCAGGGUAUAGACCCGAAACCCGGUGAUCUAGCCAUGGGCAGGUUG